rnacentral:rRNA from 1 species
CCUACGGGGUGCACCAGUGGGGAAUUUUGGACAAUGGGCGAAAGCCUGAUCCAGCCAUUCCGCGUGAGUGAAGAAGGCCUUCGGGUUGUGAAGCUCUUUCGCAAGGGAAGAAAACUUACCUUCUAAUAAAGGGUGGGGCUGACGGUACCUUGAUAAGAAGCACCGGCUAACUACGUGCCAGCAGCCGCGGUAAUACGUAGGGUGCGAGCGUUAAUCGGAAUUACUGGGCGUAUAGCGUGCGCAGGCUGUUUUGUAAGUCAGAUGUGAAAUCCCCGAGCUCAACUUGGGAACUGCGUUUGAAACUACAAGACUAGAAUAUGUCAGAGGGGGGUAGAAUUCCACGUGUAGCAGUGAAAUGCGUAGAGAUGUGGAGGAAUACCAAUGGCGAAGGCAGCCCCCUGGGAUAAUAUUGACGCUCAUACACGAAAGCGUGGGGAGCAAACAGGAUUAGAUACCCGCGUAGUC